UAUUGCUUCGGCAAUGCAUAUACUAAAUCUGGAACGAUACAGAGAAGAUUAGCAUGGCCAAUGCGCAAUGAUGACACGCAAAUUUGUGAAGCGUUGAAUAUUCUU